rnacentral:rRNA from 1 species
CCUACGGGUGGCAGCAGUAGGGAAUCUUCCACAAUGGGCGAAAGCCUGAUGGAGCAACGCCGCGUGGGUGAAGAAGGUCUUCGGAUCGUAAAACCCUGUUGUUAGAGAAGAAAGUGCGUGAGCGUAACUGUUCACGUUUCGACGGUAUCUAACCGGAAAGCCACGGCUAACUACGUGCCAGCAGCCGCGGUAAUACGUAGGUGGGAAGCGUUAUCCGGAUUUAUUGGGCUUAAAGGGAACGCAGGCGGUCUUUUAAGUCUGAUGUGAAAGCCUUCGGCUUAACCGGAGAAGUGCAUUUGAUACUGGGAGACUUGAGUGCAGAAGAGGAGAGUGGAACUCCAGGUGUAGCGGUGAAAUGCGUAGAUAUAAGGAAGAACACCAGUGGCGAAGGCGGCUCUCUGGUCUGUGACUGACGCUGAGGUUCGAAAGCGUGGGUAGCAAACAGGAUUAGAUACCCUUGUAGUC